rnacentral:tRNA from 1 species
GCCCAAGUGGCGGAAUGGUAGACGCAGAGGAUUCAAAAUCCUCCGCCUUUGCGGGUGUGCGAGUUCGAAUCUCGCCUUGGGCACCA